UACAGAGGGGGCAAGCGUUGUUCGGAAUUACUGGGCGUAAAGGGCGCGUAGGCGGUGAAGUGGGUGUGGUGUGAAAGCCCCGGGCUCAACCUGGGAAGGGGCACCGCAAACUGCAUUGCUAGAGUAGAUGAGAGGGCGGCGGAAUUUCCGGUGUAGCGGUGAAAUGCGUAGAGAUCGGAAGGAACGUCGAUGGCGAAGGCAGCCGCCUGGCAUCAUACUGACGCUGAGACGCGAAAGCGUGGGGAGCGAACAGG
rnacentral:rRNA from 1 species